CGAUCUGCGAAGUCAAGC
rnacentral:rRNA from 1 species